rnacentral:rRNA from 1 species
AUUGAACGCUGGCGGCAUGCUUUACACAUGCAAGUCGAACGGUAACAGGCCGCAAGGUGCUGACGAGUGGCGAACGGGUGAGUAAUGCAUCGGAACGUGCCCAGUCGUGGGGGAUAACUACUCGAAAGAGUAGCUAAUACCGCAUACGAUCUAUGGAUGAAAGCGGGGGACCGUAAGGCCUCGCGCGAUUGGAGCUGCCGAUGUCAGAUUAGGUAGUUGGUGGGGUAAAGGCUCACCAAGCCAACGAUCUGUAGCUGGUCUGAGAGGACAACCAGCCACACUGGGACUGAGACACGGCCCAGACUCCUACGGGAGGCAGCAGUGGGGAAUUUUGGACAAUGGGCGCAAGCCUGAUCCAGCAAUGCCGCGUGCAGGAAGAAGGCCUUCGGGUUGUAAACUGCUUUUGUACGGAACGAAACGGCUCUGGUUAAUACCCGGGGCUAAUGACGGUACCGUAAGAAUAAGCACCGGCUAACUACGUG